rnacentral:rRNA from 1 species
AGAGUUUGAUCCUGGCUCAGGACGAACGCUGGCGGCGUGCCUAACACAUGCAAGUCGAGCGAUGAAAUCCCUUCGGGGAUGGAUUAGCGGCGGACGGGUGAGUAACAMGUGGGUAACCUGCCUCAAAGAGGGGGAUAGCCUCCCGAAAGGGAGAUUAAUACCGCMUAACWUUAGUUUUUCGCMUGAAGAACUAAUUAAAGGAGUAAUCCSCUUUGAGAUGGACCCGCGGCSCMUUASCUAKUUGGUGAGGUAAAGGCUCACCAAGGCGACGAUGCKUAGCCGACCUGAGAGGGUGAUCGGCCACAUUGGAACUGAGACACGGUCCAGACUCCUWCGGGAGGCAGCAGUGGGGAAUAUUGCACAAUGGGCGAAASCCUGAUGCAGCAACGCCGCGUGAGUGAUGAAGGCCUUCSGGUUGUAAAGCUCUGUCUUUGGGGACGAUAAUGACGGUACCCAAGGAGGAAGCCACGGCUAACUACGUGCCMGCAGCCGCGGUAAUUC